rnacentral:ncRNA from 2 species
UACUUCAUCCGAUUAUGUGGUGCCCGCCAUGGAAACAUACGGGCUUAAAAGGGAAUCCGGUGAGAGUCCGGAACAGUACCCGCUGCUGUAAUUCCGCGCUGGCCGCAAGGCUGGCGACAAGGUUUGCCGACAAUGCCACUGUCCCGUUCAGGGAUGGGAAGGCCGGCAGAAUCCGGGAAAGUCAGAAGACCUGCCUCAUAUUUUUUGGCUUC